CCUGAUGGCUCAGAUGGUAAAGAAUCUGCCUGCAAUGCGGGAGACCCAGGUUCAAUCCCUGGGUCAGGA
rnacentral:tRNA from 1 species